UACGUAGGGUCCGAGCGUUGUCCGGAAUUACUGGGCGUAAAGAGCUCGUAGGUGGUUUGUCGCGUUGUUCGUGAAACUCACAGCUCAACUGUGGCGUGCGGCGAUACGGGCAGACUUGAGUACUGCAGGGGAGAACGGAAUUCCCGGUGUAGCGGUGAAAUGCGCAGAUAUCGGGAGGAACACCUAUGGCGAAGGCAGCUCGCUGGACGUUACUGACGCUGGAGACGCGAAGCGUGGGAGCAAACAGG
rnacentral:rRNA from 1 species